rnacentral:rRNA from 1 species
UUUGUAAUACAAAACGACUCCCGGCAACGGAUAUCUCGGCUCUCGCAUCGAUGAAGAACGUAGCGAACUGCGAUACUUGGUGUGAAUUGCAGAAUCCCGUGAAUCAUCGAGUCUUUGAACGCAAGUUGCGCCCGAAGCCAUUAGGCCGAGGGCACGUCUGCCUGGGUGUCAUGCAUCGUUGCCCCAGCACAAAAUUGUGCCAGGGGCGGAUAUUGGCCUCCCGUGAGCUAGACUCGCGGUUGGCCUAAAUGCGAGUCCGUGGUGGCGAGCGCCAGGGCAUACGGUGGUUGAGUUCUUCUCGAAGCCAAGCCCCGCGCGCCCCGUCACUUGAUCGGCUCUAUCAACCCCAUCGCAUCUCACAGAUGCUUCCAACGUGACCCCAGGUCAGGCGGGGCUACCCGCUGAAUUUAAGCAUAUCAAUAAGCGGAGGAAAAGAAACUAACAAGGAUUCCCCUAGUAACGGCGAGCGAACCGGGAAUAGCCCACCAUGAAAAUCGGUUGCCCUCGGCAUCCGAAUUGUAGUCUGGAGAAGCGUCCUCAGCGACGGACCGAGCCCAAGUCCCCUGGAAGGGG